rnacentral:rRNA from 1 species
AUUGAACGCUGGCGGCAGGCUUAACACAUGCAAGUCGAGCGGGGGAAGGUAGCUUGCUACCGGACCUAGCGGCGGACGGGUGAGUAUGCUUAGGAAUCUGCCUAUUAGUGGGGGACAACAUCUCGAAAGGGAUGCUAAUACCGCAUACGUCCUACGGGAGAAAGCAGGGGAUCUUCGGACCUUGCGUCAAUAGGUGGACCUAAGUCGGAUUAGGUAGUUGGUUGGGUAAAGGACUACCAAGGCGACGAUCUGUAGCGGGUCUGAGAGGAUGAUCCGCCACACCGGGACGGAGACACGGCCCAGACUCCUACGGGAGGCAGCAGUGGGGAAUAUUGGACAAUGGGGGGAACCCUGAUCCAGCCAUGCCGCGUGUGUGAAGAAGGCCUUAUGGUUGUAAAGCACUUUAAGCGAGGAGGAGGCUACUUUAGUUAAUACCUAGAGAUAGUGGACGUUACUCGCAGAAUAAGCACCGGCUAACUCUGUGCCAGCCGCCGCCGUAA